GUAUCACUAGUGCAAUAAGAGACCUUUACAUUGUUACUCACACGAUUUUGGUGUAUUUGUGUUUGUUCGAGCCCAAGUACUUUCCUGAUGGAUGCUGACGCAGAACAAAUCGCACUCUUUGAUCUUCACGUAACAGAUAAAUGAAAACUUUUGCUGUAUCUAGAAGUCCAUCUGUAUCAUUCACCAGCACCUGAUGUUUCUUUACAAAGUACUGAGUGAGGAAUCUAAGAAUGUACCAUGGUCAGAGGUGAAGACGAAAUUAUACGAAUUCCUGCACACACAAACUUAUUUUAACAAUCUCCACUCCAUUUAUGAAUGAAACACGAAGAAACUCCAAUAUGUGGGCAAUUGGAAGUAUCUUCUCGCCAUAAGUUUUACAGUUGUUUGCAGAGUUUGGUGG